GGAAGUAAAAGUCGUAACAAGGUUUCCGUAGGUGAACCUGCGGAAGGAUCAUUAAAAGGAUUUUCAAAUCGAAACGGCUCGCUCUCGCUACUGAUAAGCAAAGGAUCCGGCUGACUUGUGAGUUUGGUCAGUCGCUGAUGGAAGAACAACGCGAACCAUCGUGGCUUUCGAUCACGGCGGCCCUCACCGACCGUGUGACACUGACGAUGUAAAAUAAACGCAACUUAGUCCCGCUCUCGCUACCGAUAAGCAGAACACCCGGCUGACUUGUGAGUUUGGUCAGUCGCUGAUGGAAGAAAAACGCGAACCAUCGUGGCUUUCGAUCACGGCCCUCACCGGCCGUGUGACACUGACGAUGUAAAAUAAACGCAACUUAGUCCCUGUCGAUCGAAACUCAUCACUGGCCUUGCGCUGCGACCUUAAACAGUCAAAGCCUCGGUACGGGUACUCAUCUCCCUCGUGAGGUGAGCCCUUAAACCACCCAUACAACUCUGAGCGGUGGAUCACUCGGUCUGUGGAUGCUAUGAAGACCAUAGCUAAGUGUGAGAAUGGCAGCGAGCCGUCGCUAUAUGCGCUGUCCUCUUCUUUCACAUGUCGAAUGCACAUUGCGCCCCACCCAGUGGUCAGCAAAACCACGAACCAACGCUGGUGACUUGGAACAAAUGCAAGUGUGCGAGCCUCCGAGGAGACGGCGGGGGAUAAAAACUAGCACAUGAGCGUGCGGUCCUAUGUCCGUGCAAGUAGUUCGGCUGACUCCGCGGUGGGGCACUUCUGGUCGAGUGUGGUGGACCAAGGGUAUUGUCACGCACCCUCGAUGUGGUGUGCUGGCGUGCCUGUAUCUCUAUACCAAUUUGGGUCAACAUCAGUUGCGCCCGGUAAAUACCUGCCUUGGCUCGUGCCUCUGCGAACGCACAUACACAUGGACGACUCGAUGCUACUAGUGUGUUGUGCCGCAUUGUAGGCCAUAGCUGGCGAUCACUCGUGCGGCCAGGGCACCAACCGCUGUGUUGGUGCGCAUCGGUCCAAAAGGUUAAAGCAGAACAGCAGAUGAGUACCUCGUGUCCUUCUCUCGCUCAAAGGCAUUGACUCUCAAAACGUGAACGCAGCGCGGGAAAAACGGUUUUCAAAAGGCAUGUGUCUGUCUCUCUCAGAAAAAGUCGUGUGUGACCGAGUGGGCUGUCUUGUUGGACUGAUAACUCGUAUGCUACAGGCGUCGCGGAAAUAAAGUCUCUGCUUUUUUCCAUCACAACCGACGCUGCUACGAGGGUCCUCUUGCGGUGGAAUCGCUUGGAUGAGCACACACGCACGGGCUCGGCUUGAAUCCUCUAUAGACCCGCGUGUCUUGUGAGAGCAGAGAGACAAGCGCAAGGAAUACGAGAGCGAGAGAAACAGAAGAGUACGGUACAAUGACUUUGCUUUGACGCUGCUGACAAUCUAUCCACCACCUCGACUCAGAAGAGAUUACCCGCUGAACUUAAGCAUAUCAGUAAGCGGAGGAAAAGAAACCAAUACGGGAUUCCCUUAGUAGGGGCGACCGAACAGGGAUGAGCCCAGCGCAGAACCUCCCGGGCCACCCGGCCUGCGGCGGAAUGUUGCGUAAAGGGAAAGGUCGUAGUCAAACCCCACAGCCACGCGAACUCUAAGUCAGCCACGAAUAGGCUAUCCCAACUAACGGCGGGAAAGACUCCACGGAGGGUGUAAGACCCGUGUGGGCGCGUGUCAAAGCUGUGCGGGCUCGGCCUCUAUUCCCUGAGAGUCGCGUUGCUUGAGCAUGCAGCGCUAAGCAGGUCGUAAACUCGAUCUAAGGCUAAAUAUCUCCACAGAACCGAUAGCGAACAAGUACCGUGAGGGAAAGUUGAAAAGCACUCUGGAGAGAGAGUCAAAAGACCGUGAAACCGCUCAGAGU
rnacentral:rRNA from 1 species